UGUAUUUAUUAGAUUAAAAACCAAUGCCCUUCGGGGCUCCUUGGUGAUUCAUAAUAACUUAACGAAUCGCAUGGCCUUGUGCCGGCGAUGGUUCAUUCAAAUUUCUGCCCUAUCAACUUUCGAUGGUAGUAUAUGGGACUACCAUGGUUUCAACGGGUAACGGGGAAUAAGGGUUCGAUUCCGGAGAGGGAGCCUGAGAAACGGCUACCACAUCCAAGGAAGGCAGCAGGCGCGCAAAUUACCCAAUCCCGACACGGGGAGGUAGUGACAAUAAAUAACAAUAUAGGGCUCUUUCGGGUCUUAUAAUUGGAAUGAGUACAAUUUAAAUCCCUUAACGAGGAACAAUUGGAGGGCAAGUCUGGUGCCAGCAGCCGCGGUAAUUCCAGCUCCAAUAGCGUAUAUUAAAGUUGUUGCAGUUAAAAAGCUCGUAGUUGAACUUCAGACCUGGCUGGGCGGUCCGCUUAACGGCGUGUACUGUCUGGCUGGGCCUUACCUCUUGGUGAGCCGGCGUGCCCUUUAUUGGUGUGCGUCGGGGAACCAGG
rnacentral:rRNA from 1 species